UGGGGAAUAUUGCACAAUGGGCGAAAGCCUGAUGCAGCAACGCCGCGUGAGGGACGACGGCCUUCGGGUUGUAAACCUCUUUUAGCAAGGAAGAAGCGAAAGUGACGGUACUUGCAGAAAAAGCGCCGGCUAACUACGUGCCAGCAGCCGCGGUAAUACGUAGGGCGCAAGCGUUAUCCGGAAUUAUUGGGCGUAAAGAGCUCGUAGGCGGUUUGUCGCGUCUGCUGUGAAAACCCGAGGCUCAACCUCGGGCCUGCAGUGGGUACGGGCAGACUAGAGUGCGGUAGGGGAGAUUGGAACUCCUGGUGUAGCGGUGGAAUGCGCAGAUAUCAGGAAGAACACCGAUGGCGAAGGCAGAUCUCUGGGCCGUAACUGACGCUGAGGAGCGAAACGGGUGGGGAGCAAACAGGCUUAGAUACCUGGUAGUCACCCCGUAAACGUUGGGAACUAGUUGUGGGGUCCAUUCCACGGAUUCCGUGACGCAGCUAACGCA
rnacentral:rRNA from 1 species